rnacentral:rRNA from 1 species
UCAGGCAGGGCUACCCGCUGAACUUAAGCAUAUCAAUAAGC